rnacentral:rRNA from 1 species
AUUGAACGCUGGCGGCAGGCCUAACACAUGCAAGUCGAACGAGUGGCGGACGGGUGAGUAAUGUCUGGGAAACUGCCUGAUGGAGGGGGAUAACUACUGGAAACGGUAGCUAAUACCGCAUACCAUCAGAUGUGCCCAGACGGGAUUAGCUAGUUGGGGGGGUAACGGCUCACCAAGGCGACGAUCCCUAGCCGGUCUGAGAGGAUGACCAGCCACACUGGAACUGAGACACGUGCCAGAUGCCUACGGGAGGCAGCAGGGGGGAAUAUUGCACAAUGGGCGAAAGCCUGAUAGAGCAAGGCCGCGUGAAUGAAGAAGGCCUUCGGAUUGUAAAGUACUGUCAGCGGAGAAGCGGUACCCGCAGAAAAAGCAAGGGCUAACUCCGUGCCAGCAGCCGCGGUAAUAC